rnacentral:rRNA from 1 species
UACGAAGGGGGCUAGCGUUGCUCGGAAUUACUGGGCGUAAAGGGCGCGUAGGCGGAUAGUUAAGUCAGAGGUGAAAGCCCAGGGCUCAACCUUGGAAUUGCCUUUGAUACUGGCUAUCUUGAGUUCGGGAGAGGUGAGUGGAAUGCCGAGUGUAGAGGUGAAAUUCGUAGAUAUUCGGCGGAACACCAGUGGCGAAGGCGACUCACUGGCCCGAUACUGACGCUGAGGUGCGAAAGCGUGGGGAGCAAACAGG